AUGGCGGCCACUUUUCUUACUCCAGCUUCUGGCGCUAGCUGUGAUCCUGGAAGAGCCGCAGGCAGUGACACGGCACCCAGCAGCCCUCCUACCCCUGGAGCUGGGGACUGCUGGGGGUGCAGGGAGCUGGGGAGGGGCUGGGGGCUGCAGCAUCCCAGUGAGCCCCCUCCUGCCCUUCCUGGAGCCACAGCUCUGCCAGGAGCUGUUCAACUACACCCUGGAGCUGCUGCUGUGGAGGGGAGAUGUCGUCCGGGUCCCCUGCAAGCGCCUGAUGAGCCCCCACGCUCCCACGGCAGCCUGAGCCAGCGAGGGACCGGCCUGGCCACCAGCAGGAGCACACGGGUGAGAACUGGGCAGGGGAUGCGACGGGGAGGAGAGGGACGGGGACGGGGACGGAGAUGGGGAAGGGGACAGGGACAGGGACGGGCAGGUCCCCUUGCCCAGGGCAGGACCCUCAUGCUGGGGCAGGUCCCCGUGCCCGGGCAGCGCGGUGCUGGGGCUCCCGGCAGGAAACGCUUCCUGCCCCGGCCGUGCACCGCUCCCCGUGCCGGCCCCGGCCCCGCCGCUCACCCCCUGCUCUCCCCAGCGAGGAUGGAGCCGGCCAAGCCGCCCCCCAGCAAGAGGAUGGCUCCCGCGCCCCCCGUCCCUGCCAAAACCAAGCCGGCCCUGGGGCUGCCGAGCAAGCCCAGCAGCCCCCAGCCCGGCACCUCGGCCGAAAUGGAGCGGGGCAGAGCCGGAGACCCAGACACCGAUGGCUUCAGUGCCCUGCAGGUGACCACGGCCAAGCUGAGCCACCCCACGGCCACGCGCCCCCGGGUGCCGGGCCGGCGGCUGCCCAGUAUGGCCGGGGUGGGCUUGGGGCCGCCCUGCGCCGAGCUCUGCCCCCAUCUCCCCGCCGCGGGGCAGGGCCCGGAGCAGCGGCUGGCCCUGGAGGACCUGAAGGCCGAGGUCCGGUCCCUGCACAUCCUCGUGGACCUGAUGCGAGGCCAGCACCUGAGGGACCUGGAGGACGUGAGGCUGGAGCUGCAGCACGAGCGGACCAAGCGCGAGGCGCUGCAGGCGGAGAUUGAGCGGGUGAGGAAGGCGCUGCCCUGCUAGCGGGGGGGGCUGCGGGGGGUGCGCAGGGACCCCCAAAGCAUCCCCAGCCCCAGGAGCACCCCCAGCCCUGGCCUGGGGCUGUGCCGAUCCGGACACGAGGGACCCCUGCACCUGGGCACCGCCUGCUGCGCCUCUGAGGCCAUGAAGCAGACCCUGCUUUGUCACAAAUACUGGUUAAAAUAAACUAUUUUGGGUACGGAGUGCUGCUGGGGUC
rnacentral:lncRNA from 1 species